AGUGUGAAAUGAAGUGUGGAUACAAAGACAGCCAGGAGGUUGGCUUAGAAGCAGCAAUUCCUUUAAAGAGUGCGUAACAGCUCACUGGUCGAGUGUCCAUGCGCAGAUAAUGUAACGGGGCUAAGCAGUAUACCGAAGCUACGGGUCUUAUGCAUUUUUGAGCAUAAGGCGGUAGGGGAGCAUUCCAUUAACUGAUGAAGGCAUACUCGCGAGAGGUGCUGGAGGAGAUGGAAGAGAGAAUGCAGGUAUAAGUAACGAAAAGGGAGGUGAGAUCCCUCCCCGCCGAAAAUCUAAGGUUUCCUGGGUAAAGGUAAUCUUCCCAGGGUAAGUCGGCCCCUAAGGCGAGGACGAAGGUCGUAGUCGAUGGGAAAUCGGUUCAUAUUCCGAUACCUUUUAUAAUUUCGAUGGCAGGACGCAUGAGGUGAAACCCGGCCGGCUAACGGAUGCCGGUCAAAGUAAGCGAGCCGUUAUAAAGGAUGAUAGGCAAAUCCGUCGUCCAAGGUAAGCUGCGACAGCGAGUGAAACUAAGGUGGAGCGAAGCGGGCGUAAUCAAGGUGCCGGGAAAUACUGUCUAAGGUUAGGUUAUAAAAGACCGUACCGUAAACCGACACAGGUAGAUGGGAUGAGAAAUCUAAGGCGCUCGAGAGAACUCGCGUUAAGGAAUUCGGCAAAAUGCACACGUAACUUCGGAAAAAGUGUGACCUCCUUUUUUUUAAAGAUGAGGGGGUGGCAGAAAGCAGGCCCAGGCGACUGUUUAUCAAAAACACAGCCAUCUGCGAACCAGCAAUGGGACGUAUAGGUGGUGACACCUGCCCGGUGCCGGAAGGUUAAGAGGAGAGGUUAACAGCAAUGUGAAGCUUUGAAUUGAAGCCCCGGUAAACGGCGGCCGUAACUAUAACGGUCCUAAGGUAGCGAAAUUCCUUGUCGGGUAAGUUCCGACCCGCACGAAUGGUGUAACGAUUCUGGGCACUGUCUCAACGCGAGACUCGGUGAAAUUUAUAUACCGGUAAAGAAGCCGGUUACCCAUAGUUAGACGGUAAGACCCCGUGAACCUUCACCGUAACUUACUAUUGGGACUUGGUUUAUCAUGUGUAGAAUAGGUGGGAAACUGUGAAACUUGCUCGUUAGGGUGAGUGGAGUUGAAAGGUGAAAUACCACCCUUGAUGAAUUAGGUUUCUAACCUGUUCCGUGAAGCCGGAAUGGGAACAGUGGUAGGCAGGCGGUUUGACUGGGGCGGUCGCCUCCUAAAAUGUAACGGAGGUGCGCGAAGGUCUCCUCACGUCGGUUGGAAAUCGACGCAGUGAGUGUAAAGGCACAAGGAGGCUUAACUGCAAGAGUGACAGCUCAAGCAGAUACGAAAGUAGGUCUUAGUGAUCUGGCGGUAGCGAGUGGAAGCGCCGUCACUUAACGGAUAAAAGGUACUCCG
rnacentral:rRNA from 1 species